UGUUAGCUCUGAGAAGGAGGUGCUGGAGGAGGAGGAGGAGGAGGAGGUGGUGGCGGUAGUAGUGGUAGCGGUGGUGGUGGUGGUGGGGGUGACGGAGGAGGAGGAUUUCGUGUGGUAUGCGCGAACGAAGGAGUGCAAGAGAGACCGAAACACAUGCGAGAUAGGGAUGAGAGAGAGAGAGAGAUAGAGACAGAGAAAGAGAGAGAGAGAGAGAGAAAUGAUGAUAGCGGCCAAGCGCCUGCGUGAUGCGCACUAAGCGCUAGCCGAGCUUUAAGGAACGACGGAGAAAGGAGCUCGUUAAAAUCAAGGAGAUGGAGGAACAGGAGCAGGUUAUGGAGGAGCAAACGGAGGAGCUGCAGCUGGAGGAGAAACAAGAAGAAAAGAAGAAACAGGAAGUGUUCGUAUUUCUGACGUAGGACGAUAAAACGGACAAGCUCUCUCCCGAGGUGACACUCCGAGGAGAAUUAUAAUAUAACUUCUCUUCGAGGAAGACAAAUGAUCAAAACUUAUUGACGUGCGACUCCUCGUCCCGAAGGCCGGACUCAUCCGAGCGAGCGAGCGAGCGAGCAAGCGAACGAGCGAGCGACCGAACGAACGAACGUCCGAACGUCCGACCGACCGACCGAUCGCGGCCCGUUCGAACGCCCUUCGAACUACGUUAAAAUAAACGCGGACCUCUUUGGCCCGUGCGCCGGCACGUUGGUUCUACCUCUCCCUCUCCUCUCUACUCUCCUCUACUAUGAUCUGAUCUGAUUCUGAUCUUCCUCUACUCUGCUGCUCUGCUCUGCUGUCGCCGCUGAUGUGCUGCUCCCGCUGCUGUAGCCGCGUAGCUCUAGUUCCCGUACUCUUGAAAAUCGAUCUAAAAGUAGCUCCCUCCCUGGCGCGAUCUCUUCGACGAGCCGCGAACGACCUAUCGCGAACUACCUUACCGACCGUCGUCGUAUCGGUCGGUACGGUAACGAACGUCGCCUUAUGCUUCUUCCUUAUCGUUAUUACGCGCCUGCGGCCGUUACAUACUCGCGUCUCGCUCUCCCAUUCCGCACCAUCCGUUCUUUUCCAUCUUCCUUUUCUUUCUCGUCUCGUUCUCCUGUCGUUCUCAUCGUUCUCGUUCUCUUUUGUUUUCAUCUUCGAUCGAACGACGUCAUCUUUCUUUCACGAUUCUUCGAAUCUUCCGAUACAAGUUGGAAAGUUCGCGGCACUACUGUGCCGUUUGAUAAGCGCCUGUAUCUCAUUGGCUGUGGAGGACCAUCGUCUGCGAGGAACCUUUUGUAUUGGGAUCUCUGGUAAUCCAACCUCCGUGUGACAACCCUUGAUAGAUGUGAUCGGUGACGUUGGUAAACCGACCUCUUGAAAAGAGCUCAUCGAUGAGAAUCCACUUUCGUCCUCGGCGCUGCUCACGCUAUUGGCUAAUUUGGCUCUGACAGCUCUAACCAUGAGAUCGCUUAUACCGUUAAUACCUUUUUUCUCUAAUCGUUUGGUACAUUUGAUAGGAGUCGAGGUAACAUUUCCAUUAGUAUUACAUACGUGUUCACGAGUUUCUUCUAACGCGUUAUCACGACUGGAAACAAUAAUCUGUUCUUCCUCUUCCGUGGUUUUACUGCUAGCCGAAUUAUAUGACGUAGCAUCUACCGACGUUCUAACACCUGGCAACAAAUUCUGUAGAUUACGAUUUACAUCCGUGUUACACGAGUUCAAUUUCAAUUGGCAAAUAUCUCGGCUAUCAAACUGUAAACAAUUCGACUCGUUACCAAGUUCACGUUCACGUUCAUGAUCACGGACACGUUCUUGUUCACUAUCACCAAUACAAUUUUCAUAAUUGUCCUCUUGUACCAUCGACGUGUUUACGAAAUUAUCUCUUUGGGACAAGGAAGAACUAUCCUGACGGUGAUGAUGGUGAUGAUGGUGGUGAUGGUGAUGAUGAUGGUUGUUGGUAGGUGACGGUGAUAUUCCACUGUCCUCGAACGGUGACAUUCUUGAUAAAUCUGGUUCUCUCAUCGCUAAUAAGGAUUGUACCGUUCUCAUCAACCUACAAAUUAUAUUUAUAUAUAUACAUAUAUAGAUAUGUGUACGUGUAUAUUUAAUUUGUAAUUCGUUAAAACGAUAUAACACAAGUGAUCAACGAAUGAUCAAUAUAAAUCGUUUAUACCUAAAAGCUUCUUGGGACAAUUUUUCCGGUGGCACGUCGUCGGGAUUCAAUUCCAUUUGUUUUGGUUUCGUAUAUGUAACACCAUCGGCCAUCUUUUUUUCUUCCUGAUAAGAUUGCUCACGGCACGGUGGUGGUUGUGUAUUGUUAUCGGUACAGGUAUUCUGAUUACGGCGUAACACAGACCACGUGAAUUCGCGGAAAGCAGAACCACCUGAUAUCUGAUUUACGGAUUUGGCUCUUGUAAAACGGGAUGAUCCGGAUGACGACGAUGAAUUUGUCGAAUUGCCACGAUUCGGUGAACAAUCGGUCGUAGUCGUCGUAUCGACUGCAUGAACGCUACGACUACGUGGUACACGAGCAUUAUUCUUGUCCUUGGAAUUGUUCUUCUCGUGAAGAAUAAUCAGGCUCUUGUGGGCUCGGUCUAAGAAACGUGCCACUUCUUCCAUCAGCGAUCGAUACAUUUGCUUGUUUGACUCGAUCUAU